CCAGGUCAGCUGAAAGUCCACACAGCCAAUGGUUCAGUUCAGAGCCUGUAUGCCUUACAGAAAGAAGAGAGAAGAGGAUAUUCUUCAUUUUAAGAAACCCUUUUCCCUUUCGAAAGCUCUCCCUCUCUGUAUGCCUUCCAUGAGGCAGAAAUGUUUGCUUUGAUCAUUGAGCAACCUUUUCUCCAGGGUAAAGAAGAGGAAUGUGAUUAAUUUUUCCUGAGAAAAGAAAAGCAGUGAGAGGGAAGGGCUGAAGACUUUUUUAUCUCCAGAUACAGGUGUACCUGUAUUUUCAGCUUCUAUCACCUUAAACAACUAACUACAACUCAACCUUGACACCUCAACAAGGAGAAUUUGCUGAAUUAAAGCUGUUCAGAGCACCUGUUGUCCAGCAGAUGACAUAGAUGAGAAGGUAAUUCCCGAUGACACCAAUAAAAACCACCAGCGAGUAGCAGGGGAUGAUGAGUGGCUUGAAGGACUGAACGAACUGGAGCCCUGAGAAUAAAUUGCUGGUGUUGCUGUGAAUCGCAG